AGAGUUUGAUCAUGGCUCAGACUGAACGCUGGCGGAAUGCUUUACACAUGCAAGUCGAACGGCAGCACGGACUUCGGUCUGGUGGCGAGUGGCGAACGGGUGAGUAAUAUAUCGGAACGUAUCCAAUAAUGGGGGAUAACUAAGCGAAAGCUUGGCUAAUACCGCAUACGCCCUGAGGGGGAAAGCUAGGGAUCUUCGGACCUGGCGUUGAUGGAGCGGCCGAUAUCUGAUUAGCUAGUUGGUGGGGUAAAGGCCCACCAAGGCGACGAUCAGUAGCUGGUCUGAGAGGACGACCAGCCACACUGGAACUGAGACACGGUCCAGACUCCUACGGGAGGCAGCAGUGGGGAAUUUUGGACAAUGGGCGCAAGCCUGAUCCAGCCAUUCCGCGUGAGUGAAGAAGGCCUUCGGGUUGUAAAGCUCUUUCGCAAGGGAAGAAAGAUUGCUCUCUAAUAUAGAGUGAUUAUGACGGUACCUGAUAA
rnacentral:rRNA from 1 species